CCUACGGGAGGCAGCAGUGGGGAAUUUUGGACAAUGGGCGCAAGCCUGAUCCAGCAAUGCCGCGUGCAGGAUGAAGGCCUUCGGGUUGUAAACUGCUUUUGUACGGAACGAAACGGUCUGCCCUAAUACGGUGGGCUAAUGACGGUACCGUAAGAAUAAGCACCGGCUAACUACGUGCCAGCAGCCGCGGUAAUACGGAGGGUGCGAGCGUUAAUCGGAAUUACUGGGCGUAAAGGGUGCGUAGGUGGUUUGAUAAGUUAUCUGUGAAAGCCCUGGGCUCAACCUGGGAACUGCAUUCCGAACUGUCAGGCUAGAGUAUGAUAGAGGUGAGCGGAAUUUCCUGUGUAGCGGUGAAAUGCGUAGAUAUAGGAAGGGAACAUCAGUUGCGAAAGGCGGCUCACUGGAUCAAUACUGACGCUGAGGUGCGAAAGCGUGGGUAGCGAACAGGAUUAGAUACCCUGGUAGUCCACGCUGUAAACGAUGAGUGCUAGAUGUUGGUGAAGGAAUUCAUCAGUGUCGCAGCUAACGCAUUAAGCACUCCGCCUGGGGAGUACGGUCGCAAGAUUAAAACUCAAAGGAAUUGACGGGGGCCCGCACAAGCGGUGGAGUAUGUGGUUUAAUUCGAAGCAACGCGAAAAACCUUACCAGCUCUUGACAUGUUGAUUAUGGAGAUCAGAGAUGAUUUCCUUCGGUUCGGCCGGGUCAAACACAGGUGCUGCAUGGCUGUCGUCAGCUCGUGUCGUGAGAUGUUGGGUUAAGUCCCGCAACGAGCGCAACCCUCAUCAUUAGUUGCCAUCAGGUUUGGCUGGGCACUCUAAUGGAACUGCCGGUGAUAAGCCGGAGGAAGGUGGGGAUGACGUCAAGUCCUCAUGGCCCUUAUGGGUAGGGCUUCACACGUCAUACAAUGGUCGGUACAGAGGGUUGCCAACCCGCGAGGGGGAGCCAAUCCCACAAAGCCGAUCGUAGUCCGGAUUGUUCUCUGCAACUCGAGAGCAUGAAGUCGGAAUCGCUAGUAAUCGCAGGUCAGCAUACUGCGGUGAAUACGUUCCCGGGUCUUGUACACACCGCCCGU
rnacentral:rRNA from 1 species